rnacentral:rRNA from 1 species
AGAGUUUGAUCAUGGCUCAGGAUAAACGCUGGCGGCGUGCAUGAGACAUGCAAGUCGAACGGACGACUCGAGGCUUGCUUCGAGUCGUUAGUGGCGGACGGCUGAGUAACACGUGGGUAACCUACCCCGAUGACCGGGACAACCCGAGGAAACUCGGGCUAAUACCGGAUGAGCUCUCUAGCCAUGAGGCUUGAGAGGAAAGAUAGCUUCGGCCUUCGCAUCGGGACGGGCCCGCGGCCCAUUAGCUUGUUGGUGAGGUAACGGCCCACCAAGGCUUCGAUGGGUAGCUGGUCUGAGAGGACGAUCAGCCACACUGGGACUGGGACACGGCCCAGACUCCUACGGGAGGCAGCAGCAAGGAAUUUUGCGCAAUGGGCUCACGCCUGACGCAGCAACGCCGCGUGGGGGACGAAGGCUCUCGGGUUGUAAACCCCUUUUCCGGGGGAAGAUGGUGACGGUACCCCGGGAAUAAGUCUCGGCUAACUACGUGCCAGCAGCGGCGGUAAUAC